rnacentral:misc_RNA from 1 species
CCGAGUUAUCAACUCCCAACCCCAUGUGAACUUAUACCAUUUACACCUGUUGCUUCGGCGGUUCGCCCGGCUUACCCGACCGGCCCGCCGGGGACCCAAACCUCUAGAAUUUUUAAUUUAAGCAUGUCUGAGUGGAUCAUUAAAAAAUGAAUCA